rnacentral:rRNA from 1 species
AUUGAACGCUGGCGGCAUGCUUUACACAUGCAAGUCGAACGGCAGCGCGGGCUUCGGCCUGGCGGCGAGUGGCGAACGGGUGAGUAAUACAUCGGAACGUGCCCAGUAGUGGGGGAUAGCUCGGCGAAAGCCGGAUUAAUACCGCAUACGACCUGAGGGUGAAAGCGGGGGAUCUUCGGACCUCGCGCUAUUGGAGCGGCCGAUGGCAGAUUAGCUAGUUGGUGGGGUAAAGGCCUACCAAGGCGACGAUCUGUAGCUGGUCUGAGAGGACGACCAGCCACACUGGGACUGAGACACGGCCCAGACUCCUACGGGAGGCAGCAGUGGGGAAUUUUGGACAAUGGGCGAAAGCCUGAUCCAGCAAUGCCGCGUGUGUGAUGAAGGCCUUCGGGCUGUAAAGCACUUUUGGCGGGAACGAAAAGGACUGUGCCAAUACCACGGUUCGAUGACGGUACCCGCAGAAUAAGCACCGGCUAACUACGUG